GUGUAUAUAUAGGAUGGCCAAGUUCUUUUGGCUUAUCCGCCACAGCCGUGAGGAUUUAUUCAUCUCAUAUCUGACAAAGACUGAUUGCCUUUUUCACUCACUGACCUCCAAAAUACUCAGCUCAAAGUCAGAAAGUGCUCAAUCACACCAGAAGCCUUUCAACAGGCUGCAGUAAACAAAUGGCAAUGCUGGUGUGAAUGCUCGACUGUGGACUGACAUCCUUCGUGUAUUACUCUCCCUCGCACAGGUGCAUAAUAAAGUGUAUUGUAUUCCGUAUGGAUAUACUUAGCAGUCAUUAUAUUUUCAUCACAGAGCUUAAUGAGAUAAUGGCGACACAGAGUCCGAUAUUAAUAUCUAAACUUGUUCUCCGCUCAGGAGGCGUGCAAAGUUUGGGUGUGGUGUUGUCAGCCGCCUGAGGGUUUGUCAGUGAGAGCUCCUAAAAAAACUAAAAACAAAUAAUGCUGCGCUUCAUGGCAUUCACAUAUUAAGUUUGCAGCCUCGAGACUCAAGAGAACAGAUCAUGUAGACACAACAAUUUAAUCACCAGAGAAAGUUGAUACACCAAAUGAGUUACGAAAGAGUUGCUCGUUACGCAGCCGGCAGAAUGAAGCAACAUAAGCAAUCAUCUGGACUCGUGUUUCAGUUGCCGUGUUGGCCUGCUAGUGGCCAACUUUGCCAUUUGGUGCUGGGCAUUAGAGCUUAAUAACUAAAAAAAAAAAAAAAGGAGGGUACUCAAAGGCUCUGUAAAGCUGAGAUGAACUGUAUGGUAACAAUUCUCAGGGUUUGUCAGUAUGUAUUACACAAAGUGAGAGAACUGAUCCGUUAUGAAAUCUCUCUCUUCCGGGAAUGACAUUUCAAAUUAAGCAAUCUUUGAUGUGAUAUAACCUGAUGGCUCAUUCCCUGAGGAGCAGCAUAAUAAGACAGGUUUGUGAGCAGUCAAGCAGUCUGUACACACCCACACAGCCUUGAGAAGAGGCCUCGAGCCAAAACUACUAUGUGGGUUAUUUCUGUCUGUUCUUGCCAAUUUAGAUUUUUUACUGUGAAUUCGAUGUGCUUUUUGUUACGACCCCAGAGGUCAUAUCAACAUUUAUGUUGCCAACCCUGUUGCUUCUGCUUAAAUCCCCCUCUUCUACCUGAGUGAGUGUGUGACUGGUUGCAGGUGUGUUUGAUUGCAGGUUGUCCAGGGAGCUGAUUGGUUCCAGCCUUGAAGGCAGGAGUUUAAAGGCCGGCUCUUCCCAGCUCCUGUGGGAUCUCCUCUGUCAGCAUAUCGGUUUGUGUGCAAGAUAUGUUUUUAAAUGAAACCUUUCAAGAACGCUUCGCUGCUGGUGGUGCUUGGGGGACAGGAAGAGAUUGGUGCCGACUCUUUUACCUCCCCCUGUAACGCCAGGCAGGGGAAAAUCUGUCAACUACCUGCCAGGUCAUGUUUGAGAACAAUGACUAGCCUGUGAGAGGACAUAUUAAAAACCUGAGGUGAUGAAGUCAUCGGCGCUGGCGAGGGCUUGUACGACUGUCGCAUGUGGGCCAACACGGAUCCCGCGUGGACUGUACAUCAGCCCCACCAAUAAUGAGCGAGAAGUGAGAAGGAGGACAGUGGGAACAGUGUGCGUGGAGGGUUUCUAUAAUGCCGUGCCAGUCGUGGCUGCAGAGUUGCCAGGAGGAGUUGUUCCCUCACCGCACCACACCUCCUCUCUCUCACGAACCCUUUUUCAGUUGGUACAACAAGUACUGAAUGAAGUUGGAGGAGCAAUAUGUAGUUUUGGGGAAGAAGAGACAAGAUU